rnacentral:rRNA from 1 species
UGCUCUAAGUAAAAACAAUUUAGAGUAACUCCUGCCCAGUGAUAAUUUCAACGGCCGCGGUAUCCUAACCGUGCAAAGGUAGCAUAAUCACUUGCCCAUUAAUUGUGGGCUAGAAUGAAAGGAUUAACGAAAUAAAAGCUGUCUCUAUAAGAUACCUAAAAAUUACCCUUUAACCGAAGAGUGUUAAAUAACGUCGAAGGACAAGAAGACCCUAUAGAGCUUAAUUAAAACAAAUACACAAAAUUUACUAAAAUUCGGUUGGGGCGACCAGGGAAAUUAUAAAUCAUCCCUAAAUAAAAGAUAAAUCAAUCUAAAUACUGACCCUUAAUCAAGAUCACUAGAACAAGCUACCUUAGGGAUAACAGGCUAAUCCUACUAGAGAGUUCUUAUCAAUAGUGGGGUUUGGCACCUCGAUGUUGGCUUAGGGAAUCUAUGCGGCGCAAAAGUCACAUAAAGAUGGUUUGUUCAACCAAUAACACCCU